AAGAAGUCUAAAAUGUUGCUAUGUAUCUUUCAUGUUAUCUCCAUGAACUGGUUUUCAGAAAACAGCAAAGCAAAAUACGAUGCUGUGUUUUCCAGAGAGGGUGGUCGAUUUCACUUUGAUGGUUAAUACAAAAUUUAAGAGCUCACUACAAGAAAGAAUGUACCAAGUUGUUUUUGGUGAUACACAUGACGAUUUUACCACAAAUUUGUGUCCCUUGGACCUUAUGAAGUGAAAUUACUUAGGGUGUGUUUCACGCGGGUUAGUCGCUAACAAUUAAAAAGGAUCAGAUGAUUGUGUAAGGGACAAACCUCUUGAGACAAAGUCCCAAAAAGGGGUGUUCUUUUAUUGGCGAUGACUUUACAAUUGGAAAUUAAAAACAACGUGCCUCCAAGGGGCGCAAGCACACGAGUUACUUGAAAGAAAAGUAUUUAAGUCUAAGCUAAGGAAAUGAAAAUUACAUGUUCUCUGUUCGAGAGUUUUUGAUUCGGUCCUUUGCUUCUAUGUCCUUUCUCCCUUUAUACUUCAUGGACGAUCUCUUUGUGAUCAACCGCCCUAAAAACUGCUUGAUCGUCCUAUAACUGCCCACUUUCUUUGUAAUGGCCAACUUGUCAUGAAAACUGUCUUUUUAAAUGCUGCCAUUACUCUUCAUCAUUCAACCGCCUUCGAUUGAAUCCCUUGAAUCGUGGAACGUGAUAGGGCUGCGUUGAUAACUGCUCUGAUAACUGCACUUCUUGAUAACCACGACGCUUUAUGUUUGUUAAGACCUUGGGCGACUUGAAGGUUUGGGCGAGAAUAGAGUAACAGCUCUGGGCGACUAUAUGACACUCCAUUCGCUCAGGUUCUGGGCGACUUGCGAACUUGGGCGAUGGCGUUACCGCGUUCUUGGGCCUCCCUAUUUGGGCCUUCAUCUUAAUUUGUUCGAUUGGGCUUCGUUCUUUGGGCUAUCUGAUUUGGGGAUCCUUCAAUUGGACUUCAUUUCUUGGGUUGUUCGAUUUGGGCUGAAUUUUUAUGUGUCAACAAUUACCCCCCAAUAUGGCAGAAUUAAUAAUAAUUAUUAAAUUUUGCCAUAUUUACUUUGUGUUUCCAGCAACAUUUGAAAUUCCUAAGAAUUUUAAUCAUUGUUUUCUUCUAUAACUUGAAAAGGUGCGUCGUUUUGCAAACCUUUAUAAACCCCAAACACGUCAUUUCACUGCACCAUCAAACCACGCCUCAAAUUUUUUGCGUCUCUCUCACGAUUCACUGUUCAUCUUUUGCUUCCUUGCUACGUAACCCUGAAAAGCUUCGUUCCUUCUCAAAUGGCUGCUUCACAAUCUCAAGCUAGCGAUUCCUUUAGUUUUGAUGACUUUCAGAGACUUCUGAGUCGCCCAUACAUAACUCUAAGUUUUCUCGUGCCCGCCGAUGUAGAACGUAAUGAGUUCUACUUGGGUCCUUUAUUCAACAAUGUAGAGACAGUUGAACAGGUGGCGGUGGGUCAGUUGUUUCCUUGCA
rnacentral:lncRNA from 1 species